UACAGAGGUCCCCAAGCGUUGUUCGGAUUCACUGGGCGUAAAGGGUGCGUAGGUGGUCGGGUAAGUCUGAUGUGAAAUCUCCGAGCUUAACUCGGAAACUGCAUCGGAUACUAUUCGGCUCGAGGAUUGGAGGGGGGACUGGAAUACUUGGUGUAGCAGUGAAAUGCGUAGAUAUCAAGUGGAACACCAGUGGCGAAGGCGAGUCCCUGGACAAUUCCUGACACUGAGGCACGAAAGCUAGGGGAGCAAACGGGAUUAGAAACCCCGGUAGU
rnacentral:rRNA from 1 species